AAAAUGUUAAUCAUGAUGGUGGCACUCGUGGGCUACAACACCAUUCUACUCCACACCCAUGCCCAUGUUCUGGAUGCGUACAGCCAGGUCCUGUUUCAGAGAAUGCUGUCCAGUCCUGCUGCCUGGAGAGUGAACAUCUUCAAAUCCCAGAACACGAAAUGCCCUUCCAGGAGGGAACUGGCUAAGAGAUGAGUAGCCAAGGCAGGCCUUCUGCAGGAGCCAGUGUGCUGCUGCAGUCCCCCUGGCUGUGUCUCUUUCUAAUCCAAUCUUAGACAUCAUAUCCUCAUCCCAUACUCAUUCCACAUUUGCUUGUGCACACUGACUUGAUAUCACAGCUUGGCUAUGAGAACAGCAUCCUUCCCCUCCAACCAGGCUUCUGGGUUUGUUCUUCAGGAUUCUUGAGUGUUUUCAUGGGUCUCACUCCCAUUCCAGCCUUCACUCUGAGGGUAUGCCAAAAAAACAGAGUAUCUCCUGGCAUGUUUCCAUCCUGAAAAUAAAGGUUGAUAUUUUCAUCCUC
rnacentral:lncRNA from 1 species